rnacentral:lncRNA from 1 species
UUAAUGAUUACUUUGUCUUAUCUAUUUAGUUUAAACUAAUUUAAGAAUGUGUGGCUUGUGUCAAGCUCAACCUAAUGAUUAGUUGUACUUGCAUAGUUUAAAAACAGAUUUAUUCGUACUUUAGUAAAAGUCGAAACUUUUAAUUAUUAGUGGAUAGAAGGAAUUCAGAGAAUCAGAAAGAAGUAAUGUAAAGUUGUCUAGGCCAAAAUCUAUUCAUGAGACAAACGAGGUUGUAAAAAAUAUAUUAAAUUUAAUUCUGAUAUAUUAUCAUAAGAAAAAAUGUUAAUGAUAUCUAGUCAUAUUAAUAUAGAAAUACAUCAUUGGAAAAAUGUAAAUUUUAAGAUAUGUCAAAAUUAAAUUCUUCAAAUACAUAUAGUAGAUGCUUAACAAUAAUAUUCUCUAUUAGCAGAGACAGAUCCGUAGAAAACAUCUAAUGGAGGGGCUGGAUAAGGAGCACAAGAAGAGACUCACAAUUUUAAAAAGGUUAGUUUUUUAUAAAUAAAAAAUACUAUAUAUAUAUUAUCAAAUUAUACAAAAUAUGAUUGCCCCCUCUUCGAAUCUUUAAUUCCUUUUAUAUAGUGCAUAUAAUCAGUUAUUUUUUCUCUGAACAAAUUUUAAAAAAUUAAUGUGCUAAUGAAUGGAGUUUUCCCUUGCCGAUAAGGUAAAUACAUUUGUUUGAACUUGUAAACCACUCUCAUUAUUAUAUAUGGAAAGACAACUAGCCAUAUGGACAUGCAUUUGCAUUUACAUUUUGGAAAAAGAAAUUGGCCAUACAUUGCCUAACUAAAGCCGCAAAAAAUUACACAUGGUCAUGAAAGAGUGACCACUAUCUAUUUUUGUGAAAGAUUCACUCCUACUUUUCCCAAUUACCCAUUUUAGUGCAUGGCCAUGCAACAUAUUGGACUCGGACGUAAACCUAAUUUCUUGAAGAUGAGUGCAAUUGAAGUCUUCACAUGCACCUCUUAAAUUCACACCACUUAUGUCUUUAGUAUUCCAUAACGACACUUCCUUCAUAUCCUUAGUCAUUAAGGAAGUUUAUUAAAUCUUUAGAAUUAACAAUGAAAGAGAUGUAGUGUUUAUUGAUCAAAGUUAAAAUCAUAUGUUGAUACAAAAUCAAGGAUAAAGAUUUAUCUAACACAAUUCAUUUGAAAUCAUCCAAUAUUUUCUCCUUGUACAUGGUAUAGUUGGAAAAUUUACAAUGAAAAAAAGAGAGAGAAAUUAUAAUAUGUUAAGGAUAAUACAACUACUCAUCACAAGAAAAGGUGCUGCUAUCCUAAGCAUAUUUUAACAUGCAGUUUUAGAGGACGAGUCUCUGCUCCAUCUACACAGAGAUUGCAUACAUUAAUCAAUUUCAGAUUCCAUUAAAGAAGAGUCUCGUACAUAGAGUUAUCAUUUUUUAUAACAUUUGUUGGUUUAUUUCCUAGGUUUAAUUGUAUCUCAUUGAUAAUGAUGAAUCAUGGAUUGUUGGAGGAGUGAGAUAAGGUUGUAACUAGAGUUGUCAUUUUGUGAGCACCAAUUGAAGUUAGGCCAGUAGUGAUGACAUUAGAGUAGCAUUAUUCAUGGUAUACCAAACUUCAACUUUAACCUCUCAACACAUAUUCAGACAAAGGGAUGUAGAGGGUGACUCAAGAGCCCUUGUCCUCAGGUUCUGUUAUAUCUUAUAAAGGAAACGAGGACAAUUACUUGUGGAC